CCACCCAAUGCUCCGCCUACGCCUGACUCAAGGUUGCCUGCCGAGGCGGCGCCGCUGAUCAAGGUAAGAGACAACAACAGUAUCGAGGAAUACUUCAUGUAUGGAAUCUCAUAGGGAUGACGGCGCGAUCUUGGUGUCAAGUGAAGAACGUAGCAAUGUAAAUCCGACGAGUAACACGAUUGCAACACAACUUGCUAAGUUAUUGUUUUGGCUAAGGAACUUAAGUCGGGAAAGACAGUCUCAGGUUACUUGUGAAAGGCCCGUUUCGAGAGAGACGGGCCUUUUUUUAUGGGCGUUUUUUACCGGCUUAGAUAAUCCGCGCCGACUCUGCCGAACGCUCAAGGCGAAUGGCCACGAACUUCGACGUUGGCGUGCUGCUGCCGGCGCCGAC
rnacentral:sRNA from 1 species